AGUUAACUGUUACAGACAUAUAUUGAGUAGCGACAAUAUAAACAGUUAAUAUUUAAAUUAAGUAGUGACUAAAGUUCUCCCAAACACACUACAAUAAAUUGAGCACU
rnacentral:sRNA from 1 species